CUUGACCGUGCCGAGCCAGAGCGGCUGCGCCGGGUCGCGGUCCUGUCCGUAGACCGCCAUGAGGGCCUGCGCCUC
rfam:Streptomyces zinciresistens K42 contig00144, whole genome shotgun sequence.